UGGUAUGAUGGCUAUACAGUGUAUAAAA
rnacentral:sRNA from 1 species